rnacentral:rRNA from 1 species
CCUACGGGAGGCAGCAGUGGGGAAUCUUCGGCAAUGGACGAAAGUCUGACCGAGCAACGCCGCGUGAGUGAAGAAGGCUUUCGGGUCGUAAAACUCUGUUGCUGGCGAAUAACAAGGCUGAGAGCACCUGGUCAUCGCAUGACGGUAUGUAACCGGAAAGCCAAGGCAAACUACGUGAGCCCAGCCGCGGUGAAGCGUGGGUGGCAAGCGCGGACCGGAUUGACUGGGCGUAAAGCGAGCGGAGGCGGUAUAUGAAGUCUGAUGUGAAAGCCCCCGGCUCAACCGGGGGGUGUCAGUUGAAACUGGGAGACUUGAGUGCAGAAGAGGAGAGUGGAAUUCCACGUGUAGCGGUGAAGUGCGUAGAUAUAUGGAGGAACGCCAGUGGCGAAGGCGGCUCUCUGGUCUGUAACUGACGCUGAGGCUCGAAAGCGUGGGGAGCAAACCGGAUUAGAUACCCGUGUAGUC